GCUUUGUACGGGUUGCAGCGUCGGUACUUUCGGGCAUCCUCUUGCAUCGCAGCGUUUUGUACCAUAACCGGCACCGUCUUCUUGCACUGGCAAAUUUACGAGCGGGAGGCAAACCCGCAAGGCAGCGCUGCAGGGAGCGAGGCGGCGCGCGGAGCAGCGGCUCGAGAGCAGGUGGUGCCGCCGCGCGGUGCAUACAAGUGCUCAUCAGCUGUUGACUUAAGAUGGACCUAGACUGCACUGGUUUAUCACUAAUUCUUCAACUCCUCCUGCACCUGUACAGUGAGAGAUGACAGCGUCAGAAGACAUCUGGUUCCAGUGAGCUCUGCGUGCUCAGUUUGUGGUUAAUUACAGGACAGGUGUUUGGCACCAGCCGUGUUCAAGGAAUGAGUAGCUCCGUACUUGUAAUACUCUGCUUUCCUGGCUCUGAAGAUCGUUUUGAAGCUGCUUCUGAUGUUGUGAUGAUGUGCAUUCCUUUCACCAGAGUGUAAUUUAGAAUUUGAUGGCAGGCUUUCAGUGAUACUUUUUCGAGUAUUCAGAGUCGUCGCUUCCUUUUUUCCUGCUAGCGUACAAAGAAAUUCCAUGUUAAGAAAGUAAAAUGUCAAAGCUUAUAAAUUGUUACAGGCAUUUGACAGAAGCUCAUCCUUUGGUAAAGUAAAAACAGCACGUGCAUCACUGCGUGAUUUUUGCUAUUUUUUUUAAAUCACAGAAGUAGGAUACCCAGCUUAUAAACUAGAUCUAGUGUGUUAGUUUUAAUUUAGAUUUUAAAGUGACAGCUGCAGCAUACUAUUCUAGUCAAUAAAAAGUUAACAGUUACACGAAAAGCAUGUAUAUAUAUUCUUCCUCUCUUUUAAUUUUUACCAGAAAGAAUAACUAAAACAGUUUAGCUAGAUAAGACCAAAACUGAAAGCUUCUUUUGUGCAUUGUUAUUGUCAGAUUGUGUAAAAUUACAGCAUUAAAAAGCAGGUUGUGUACAGAUCGCCUCAGAUGAGGUUCCACCUAGAAAAAAACCUACCACACAAUCUGUGAACAGAAGCACCUGCUAAUUAACAUCAGCCAAUUGCGUCCAGUCCAUGUGGCUUUUCUGAAAAACAAAACCAAAUCCAUCCAACCAACCAAAACCACCACCAAACCUGCCCACAAACAGAAGCUGUAUUUUCCGCUAACAAUAAGAACUGGUAAAAAAAUAAAACAAUGAAAUUUUUAUUAAAUCUUAGAAGCUUAAAGUGUCCAUAGAACUGCGUGCUAAAGGGCAUUAGUAUUUAAGAGACCAAAGUAGGAAUUCAAAACAUGACUCCUUUAAAGCAGGUAACCUGACAUUUUAUUUUCCUCUUAUCUAAAAGGAACUGAGUACAAGGGGGCAUGCUGGUUGGAAAAUUUGACUUUUUGUCUGCACAGUCUCCCUGUCUUUUUUUUCCUUUUUUUUUUUUCCCCUUUUUUUAAAGUGGCAAGUUUGGUGCUUUUAGCAAAUAUUCUAGUUCAGACCAAAAGUGUAACGGCACCCACCCUUACUACAAUUAGGUAAAUUGAGUACAAUGUUACUGACACAUACUCAAUUUUGUAAUUUAAUCUUUAAGUUGCACAAGACUAGAUGCUACCAAAAGCUGUAAUUUCAAAUGGUCCUUACACAGCAACUGUAUGCGUAAAUA